UACGGAGGAUGCGAGCGUUAUCCGGAUUUAUUGGGUUUAAAGGGUGCGUAGGCGGCCAUUUAAGUCAGCGGUGAAAUUUUGCAGCUUAACUGUAAGAGUGCCGUCGAUACUGGUCCCCUUGAGUGUGGAUGAGGUAGGCGGAAUUUGUGGUGUAGCGGUGAAAUGCAUAGAUAUCACGAGGAACUCCGAUUGCGCAGGCAGCUUACCAGGCCAUAACUGACGCUCAUGCACGAAGGCGUGGGGAUCAAACAGGAUUA
rnacentral:rRNA from 1 species